ensembl:lncRNA
GUACAACUGAAUCAUUAAUCGCCAUGGAAAUAGGACAUCAAUAUUCUCAUGUUUGACUCUGGUAACCCAUGGUAACUGUGCUCCUUUUAUAAUUUGCAAGUGUCUAUUUUUCAUCUGACGAUGGAUUGUCCUGGGGACAAAAAAACAGAAGAAGAAGAAGGAAUAGCUGCAUUGGCAUCUGAACAUGUAUAGGGGGGUUCAGCAUUCAUUAUUCAAUAUUAGAAUUCUGACUUGAGCUCUUAGGAAAAAAAAAUAGAAAAGAUGACUCCAGGAAAGUAAUGAGGAUGCUGAAUGGUAUAAUGUUAUGGUAUUGAUGUCUGUGUCAGUGAGAGAUUGACAUGGAUUAGCAUCGAGGGAUAGAAAAACAUAAUGGCCGCCUCCGUUAAAGAUUCAGAGAUCAGCCCGACUCGUCACAAAACAAAACAAACCUUCACGUGUGCUCAUCUUGUACGUAAUGUUUUAGAUUUUUCUUUUUUUAUCCGUUUGCCCUUUAAUUAAAAUACUUUGUUUGUUUGUUUUACGUUGUUGAGAAAAAGACGUUGUAUGUGCCUAUACAUUUCACCUUUUGUUCUUAGUAUUUCUCUUUGUUGAUCUCUUUAUUUGUAUGGAGAUCUGUGUGAAAAUGUAAAAUGUGCUCUCUCUCUCUUUUUCCCCUCUCUUUGCCCUAAACGCAGGGUAACACAUGAUCUAUGACAUUCUAUCGACACGGUCUUCUCCUCUGGAAGACCGUCAGGCGAACAGAAACAUGGCUCGAUCUUUUUCUAGUGGAUAUUUUUACCAUGAACAGAAAGGAUGGCUGCAGCAAGACUACAUGGAAAAAAGGCUUGAGUCCCAAAUGGCAUUAUGUUCCCUAUGUAGUACACUACAUUUGGCUGGAGCCCUGGUCAUAAAGUAGUGCUCUAUAUAUAUAUAGAAUAGGAUACCAUUUAAGAUACAACCAAUGCUUUUGAUUUAUUUUAUUGCAUUGUACUGUUCCAUAGAGCAAUUGAAGGACAAAUUGCUAGUAAACUAUUUUUUUUAACCUUUAUUUCACUUGGCAAGUCAGUUAAGAACAAAUUCUUAUUUUCAAUGACGGCCUAGGAACAGUGGGUUAACUGCCUGUUCAGGGGCAGAACGACAGAUUUGUACCUUGUCAGCUCGGGGAUUCGAACUUGCAACCUUUCGGUUACUAGUCCAACGCGGGAACUUUAUAUGAUAACAUUUAAUAUAUUAUUUACAGCAUUACUCUUACUUUUAUUUAAUUUAUGAAAAACAAUUUCAUCAUUCUGGAAAUUUUUGUUUAGCUUAAGACAAAAAACAAAUAGGAAAACGUAUUCAAGUCUUUUUACUCAAUUUCUGUCUGAGAGGUGUCUGUCCCAUUGAAUAGCCUCUUCCUGUUGUCAUUUUCCCAUCAGCCACUUCAGGAUUACGGUAUCCAUAUUAGGAUAGAGUCACAAGGCGUUACUCCUAGUUAGGACACUGUACAGGGUAGCACUUCCUCUCAGAAAAGGAACACAUCCACAGUAACUUUGAGCUGCGAAAUGACAUAGACAAACUGUCUACAUUGUCCAUAUAUUUGAAUAACAAGUCAAAUUUGAAGUUGAAAGUUAGUCGAAAUUUGAAAGACCAAAUAGUUUGCGAUAGCUAGCUGUGCUCUGAGACUUUUCCCAGUCAGGACUGGACAAUAAAGGGCCUCUGUGUACUGGUUGUAAACAUAGAGGGAUUCAAGGCUUGAGUCCCAAAUUACACCCUAUUCCCUAUGUAGUGUACUACUUUUGACCAGGGCCCCAUAGGGAACAGGGUACCCUUUUGGGACUCCUCUCAAGGUGACCUUCAUUUAGCCAAAUGUGCUGACGAGAGAGCCGGUGUGUCUGUGAGAUAAUGGGAUAUUGGGUUUUACUAAUGAGAGAUCACUGUGCCAUUAAAAGGGUUGGAGCACCCAACCACCCAAUGAAUGUGGCCUUCAACACCUGUUAUGGAUUAAAGGCUAUGGUUAUAACCUGUUAUAGAUUAAAGGCUAUGGUUAUAACCUGUUCUACAUGAUAUGCUAUGGUUAUAACCUCUUAUGGAUGAUAUGCUAUGGUUAUAACCUCUUAUGGAUGAUAUGCUAUGGGUAUAACCCAUGGGUAUAACCCUAACUCAGGUGAGUUGGGUGCAGGCUGGGCUGAGGUGAGGUGGAGACAGGCAGAGUUAGAGACAGAUAGCAGGCUGGGCUGAAGUGAGGUGGAGACAGGUAGAGUUAGAGACAGAUAGCAGGCUGGGCUGAGGUGAGGUGGAGACUGAGGUGAGGUGAGGUAGAGAAUGAGGUGACAGUGAGAGCAGGUAUAGUUAGAGACAGAUAGCAGGCUGAGGUGAGGUGGAGACUGAGGUGACAGUGAGAGCAGGUAUAGUUAGAGACAGAUAGCAGGCUGAGGUGAGGUGGAGACUGAGGUGACAGUGAGAGCAGGUAUAGUUAGAGACAGAUAGCAGGCUGAGGUGAGGUGGAGACUGAGGUGAGGUGAGGUGAGGUGGAGACUGAGGUGACAGUGAGAGCAGGUAUAGUUAGAGACAGAUAGCAGGCUGAGGUGAGGUGGAGACUGAAGUGAGGUGGAGGCUGAGGUGACAGUGAGAGCAGGUAUAGUUAGAGACAGAUAGCAGGCUGAGGUGAUAGAUAGAUAGAUAGAUAGAUGGUGGUUCCUAACUGUUACGUGGUCGUGUAUACAACAGUACUAGUUAUAAUACAAGGAUGCGAGUUUUUCCCCACUGAACACUCUGAUGACUGUUGGGAAGGUGAAAUAUCCAGAAAGAAAGUCCCUAAGUACAUGUAUAUUAAAUGAAUCCUUAAAAUAUUUCCAAUUUUAGAAUUGUUAACCAAAUUAGAUUUAGAGAUUGCAAUAUUAAAGUGUACAUUUUUUUUGUUUGUUAAUUUGAAGUGAAGAAUGAGGAAACGAGACAUUUUUACACACCUUAUUAUUAUAUAGAGUAAGAAAACGUCUUCUUCUCCUCCUGGCUGUUUCUACCCACAACGUUGUAUACAAUUGCUGGUUUUGUAAUGCACUGUAGAGCAAAAGCAGUUCCACUGUUCUUUUUUUUAAAUAUAUAUAUAAAGAAAUGUUAUUUCAAUGGUCUAUUCUUUUUUUUUGUUUGUUUGAUAAAUACAGUUUUGAUACAAAA